AUUGAACGCUGGCGGCAGGCCUAACACAUGCAAGUCGAACGAGUGGCGGACGGGUGAGUAAUGUCUGGGCAACUGUCCGAUGGAGGGGGAUAACUAUUGGAAACGGUAGCUAAUACCGCAUACCAUCGGAUGUGCCCAGAUGGGAUUAGCUAGUAGGUGGGGUAACGGCUCACCUAGGCGACGAUCCCUAGCUGGUCUGUGAGGAUGAUCGGCCACACUGGAACUGAGACACGGUCCAGACUCCUACGGGAGGCAGCAGUGGGGAAUAUUGCGCAAUGGGCGCAAGCCUGAUGCAGCCAUGCCGCGUGUAUGAAGAAGGCCUUCGGGUUGUAAAGUACUUUCAGCAGGGAGGCGUUACUCGCAGAAGAAGCACCGGCUAACUCCGUGCCAGCAGCCGCGGUAAUAC
rnacentral:rRNA from 1 species